rnacentral:siRNA from 1 species
UCCGGUCGGCUUCGAUAGGAAGAA